GUGCCAGCCGCCGCGGUAAUACCGGCAGCCCGAGUGAUGGCCGAUAUUAUUGGGCCUAAAGCGUCCGUAGCCGGCCGGACAAGUCCGUUGGGAAAUCGACGCGCCUAACGCGUCGGCGUCCAGCGGAAACUGUCCGGCUUGGGGCCGGAAGAUCCGAGGGGUACGUCCGGGGUAGGAGUGAAAUCCCGUAAUCCUGGACGGACCGCCGGUGGCGAAAGCGCCUCGGAGGGACGGACCCGACGGUGAGGGACGAAAGCUAGGGUCUCGAACCGGAUUAGAAACCCUAGUAGUCC
rnacentral:rRNA from 1 species